GACGAACGCUGGCGGCGUGCCUAACACAUGCAAGUCGAACGGGCAUACUUAAUAGCUUGCUAGAGAGUAUGUUAGUGGCGGACGGGUGAGUAACGCGUAUGCAACCUGCCCAGUACAGGGGGAUAGCCCGGAGAAAUUCGGAUUAAUACCCCAUAAUGAUAAGAGAUGGCAUCAUUUUUUUAUUAAAGUUACGGCGGUACUGGAUGGGCAUGCGUGACAUUAGCUAGUUGGUACGGGUAACGGCCUACCAAGGCAUCGAUGUCUAGGGGUCCUGACGAGGGUGAUCCCCCAACUGGUACUGAGACACGGACCCGACUCCUACGGGAGCAGCAGUAAGGAUAUUGGUCAAUGGAGGGAACUCUGAACCAGCCAUCCCGCGUGAAGGAUGAAGGGGCUCUGCCUUGUAAACUUCUUUUGCCAUGGGACGUAAAAACUUAUUUAUUAAGGACUGACGGUACCAUGAGAAUAAGCACCGGCUA
rnacentral:rRNA from 1 species